CUCGCCGUCCUACUCCACUGUUGCCCCUCCCUCCACCUACCUCGCCCCUGCUCUAGGGUUCGCCUCCCGCCGCCCUGCUCCGCUGUUGCCCGUCCUUCCGCCUGCCUUGCCCCCUCCCCUACACUCACCCCUGCCCGAUCUGGAUGAGGCGUUGCCUCCCGUUCCUCUCAUCGCGUCCCUUGUGCCAGCCAUGGAAGAGGGGAGGAAGAAGGGGAGGGAGAGCAAAGAGGACCGCAGUGGCGAUGUGCCAACGUUGGCAGGACGAAGAUGUGUGAAUCAAGGAGUCCCUGCAUCUACCCGCGACCCUAGAAUAGCCGCUACCGCUGUGACCUUUCUCCAUGCCGUGAGCUUCGAGGAGUCUGGCGGCGCCAUCACGCCGGCCCCUGCUCUAGGGUUCGCCUCCCGCCGCCGCCGCCCCCCGCCGCCCUGCUCCGCUGUUGCCCGUCCUUCCACCUGCCUCGCCCCCUCCCCUACACUCACCCCUGCCCGAUCUGGAUGAGGCAUUGCCUCCGGUUCCUCUCAUCGCGUCCCUUGUGCCAGCCAUGGAAGAGGGGAGGAAGAAGGGGAGGGAGAGCAAAGAGGACCGCGGUAGCGAUGUGCCAACGUUGGCAGGACGAAGAUGUGUGAAUCAAGGAGUCCCUGCAUCUACCCGCGACCCUAGAAUAGCCGCUACCGCUGUGACCUUUCUCCAUGCCAUGAGCUUCGAGGAGUCUGGCGGCGCCAUCACGCUGGCCUCUGUCCAAGAGGUCAUCGCGCUCAACAGGCCCUCACUCCUCGGCUCCGCCUGCGGAGGUCGUCGACGCCAUCGCAGGGUGCCGCUUUGAGGCCGGGGUUGAAGCUGCCACCGAGGAGGCCAUCUUGACGCAGAUGUUGCAGGCACUCCUGACGUUCAUGCGCUCCCCUGCGAUUAGUGACCAACACACAUCUGCUCUGUCGUGAGCAUGUGCUUCGUGUCAUACAGGUCGCGGCCAAAGGCGAGCUCGUGCAGCGGUUCAGGUGCAUCCCAUAGGGGCAGCUCAAGUUUCUUUCAGAAUGCUAUUUGUUCUGAGUGCAUUGCAUAUUGAAGUAAACUGGAUGGGCUAAUCUUGAGUUCCUCCAUCAAGUUAUAUUACCUCGACAAGAAAAGGUACAUCUAAGGAGGCCUUCUCCGACAAGGAGGCUGCGGGUCAAGGUCGUCGGCAGCGACGAUGCCGCCAGCCGCAAGCGCCGCCGCGAGGACGACAAAAGGAUAAUACGAUUGAACCAACUGUUACCGGUGCAAUGCUUUUGGGGUCGACCAAAACAUUUAAAAAUGUUAAAUGUGGUUAUGUGAUAAAAUCAAGUAUGAAGGAGGAAGAGAUCAACACCAGCCGCGGCAACAAAGAUGACAGUGUGUCUCACUGAGCAUGAGCAAUGGCACACUCUUGUCGAGUACCUACCAAGAUGCUUCCCUGGUCAGACUUCGAGCACUUCCUCCUUGCCGCCGCCGCCUUGGCUAAUGUUGUUGUUUCCUCGGAUAAGCCGUAUCAGGUGUAUUUGAAGGUUGCCAGUUUAGGUGGGCCAAACAACCAGUGCGCUGAGGUCAAAAUAAGCAUGACACCAGUUUGAUUCUUUUAGGGGUCGCCUACAUGAUGAAAGAUGCUCAGGCACACAUCAUUGUUGGGUUUUCGCAUGUCAUGUCAUACUUGGUCUGUAACUGAAUCUUGAGAAUUCAUUUGUAUGACUUGAUGUACAGACGUGUUAUUCAUAAUGAAAAUAAUAUCAUUGUAUGUGCUUAAAA